AGAAAUUUAGGAUAAUGUAGACCAAAGGCCUUCAAAGCCUUAAGUAAGAGUUAAACCCUCUUAGUUUCUG
rnacentral:tRNA from 1 species